rnacentral:tRNA from 1 species
GGUUUCACGGCUCAGUUGGUCGAGCAUCGCACCGAUAUCGCGGAGGUCACGGGUUCGAAUCCCGUUGAAGCCC